CCCAGGCUAAAUUGCCCCGCCCAGCCCUGUGGAGCUGUUCCCCCCUCUCUCCCUCCUCCCCUCCUUCUGAGCCUCCCUUCCGAGUCUCCAGGUUCAGCGUCAUUCACAAGUGGGCCAGUCAGAAACCAGAGGAAGCGGCUGUGAUCUGGGGUGCGGAAGGAAUACGGUCCAGGGUGCAAAAUGCAUAGGAAGGAAUUUGCAAUCUGGAGAUGAACAUUACACUUCUAUCUUAGGGGCUGACUUUCCCAUUGUGACCUAUCUGCCAAUCAGGGGAAACAGUGGCUGGACACCCUUCAGAUCUCCAAGCAGUUCUCCACCGACCUGGGACCCUGGAAUUCACUGAGGACGUGCCCCUAAAGACCCUGUGCUGCAGCCUUUCCUUCCCCCUCUUAUUCCCCUCCCCCUCUCUCCUGACAAUAGGCAGGGAUAGCUCUACACCCAUUCUCAGCAUUGAAGAAGCUACAGAAGACUUGGACUUCGCCCUUUUUCCCUUAGAUACUUGGAGAGGGGAGGGGAUAGGACAGCAGGGGGCACUGAACCAGGUCAGGUCUUAGAUUCUGGCCCGCCUGAAGGCUGUGUGGUUCCCCUGUGGCAGUGGGGAGACAGCUAGCAAAAGGAAUACAUGACAUCACACAUAGGAGAGAGAAACUGCUGGCCCCUGGUGCGCCCACCUUUUUAGCUCUUCUCCCUGGCUCACUACCCUAGUCACGUCCCUUAUAAGACCCCUUGUAAUCUUAAUCCUACUCUUGACAUUUGGCCCCUGCAUUUUUAACCGCCUUGUUUGGCUUGUGAAAGACUGGCUGGAUGCCAUCCAGGUGUUGGCCCUCUGACAACAGUACCAACCCCUAGCCACCUCUAGCCACCUUUGAGCCCUGGGCUGAGGUUACGAGCCCUCUCAGCGGACGGACCUUCCCUCUGCCCCCUGAGAGAAAAAAGUAGGAAAUGAGGGAGCAGGAACUGCCGGGCCUUGGAAGUUAAUAUGUCAAAGAUCCCAGCAGUAGGUACCAGAUAACUCAGGGCCUGAGCGGAAACUGCCGGACCUUGGAAGUUAAUAUGUCAAAGUCCCAGCAGCAGUAGGUAGGUCCCAGAUAAGAGCUGAGGGACCAUAAAUGCUGGCAAACAUUCCAACAAUGGUAUGUUCCAGAUAGGUAUGUACCAGUUGGGGGGGCCAUGCAUGCUGGAGGGCAUAUAUAUCCCAGAAUCCCCAUACUACAAUUGGAACUCUAUGGUGGGGCUCCCCUGGUGUGUGCUGCUGGUGCACACCAGUUCAAUAAACGACCCUCCUCCUAA